UACGUAGGUGGCAAGCGUUGUCCGGAAUUAUUGGGCGUAAAGCGCGCGCAGGCGGCCUUUUAAGUCUGAUGUGAAAGCCCACGGCUCAACCGUGGAAGGUCAUUGGAAACUGAAAGGCUUGAGUACAGAAGAGGAAAGCGGAAUUCCACGUGUAGCGGUGAAAUGCGUAGAGAUGUGGAGGAACACCAGUGGCGAAAGGCGGCUUUCUGGUCUGUAACUGACCGCUGAGGCGCGAAAAGCGUGGGGGAGCAAAACAGG
rnacentral:rRNA from 1 species